AGAAAGACCAGAAAGAUCCAGGGAUCUGCUCUGUGCAGUGAAGCUUCUCUUCUUGGCACCUGCCUGGCAUCGGAAGAGGGCCCCUUCUCCCUCCCUGGGCUAUGUGGACACUCAUUCUGUGUCUGGCUGACGCUGUCGAGAGCUGAAACCCAGGACUCCAGGGGCUGUGCCCGGUGGUGCCCUCAGAACUCCUCGUGUGUCAAUGCCACCGCCUGUCGCUGCAAUCCAGGGUUCAGCUCUUUUUCUGAGAUCAUCACCACCCCCACGGAGACUUGUGACGACAUCAACGAGUGUGCAACACCGUCGAAAGUGUCAUGCGGAAAAUUCUCGGACUGCUGGAACACAGAGGGGAGCUACUACUGCAUGUGCAGCCCGGGAUAUGAGCUUGUUUCUGGGGCAAAAACAUUCACGAAUGAGAGCGAGAACACGUGUCAAGAUGUGGACGAGUGCAGCUCCGGGCAGCAUCAGUGUGACAGCUCCACCGUCUGCUUCAACACCGUGGGUUCGUACAGCUGCCGCUGCCGCCCAGGCUGGAAGCCCAAACAUGGAAUCCCGAAUAACCAAAAGGACACUGUCUGUGAUG
rnacentral:sRNA from 1 species